AUGCACGCUGGCGGCGUGCCUCAUACCUGCCCGUCGAGCGCACAGACGAGGAGCUUGCUCCUCUGACGUUAGCGGCGGACGGGUGAGUAACACGUGGAUAACCUACCUAUAAGACUGGGAUAACUUCGGGAAACCGGAGCUAAUACCGGAUAAUAUAUUGAACCGCAUGGUUCAAUAGUGAAAGACGGUUUUGCUGUCACUUAUAGAUGGAUCCGCGCCGCAUUAGCUAGUUGGUAAGGUAACGGCUUACCAAGGCGACGAUGCGUAGCCGACCUGAGAGGGUGAUCGGCCACACUGGAACUGAGACACGGUCCAGACUCCUACGGGAGGCAGCAGUAGGGAAUCUUCCGCAAUGGGCGAAAGCCUGACGGAGCAACGCCGCGUGAGUGAUGAAGGUCUUCGGAUCGUAAAACUCUGUUAUUAGGGAAGAACAAAUGUGUAAGUAACUAUGCACGUCUUGACGGUACCUAAUCAGAAAGCCACGGCUAACUACGUG
rnacentral:rRNA from 1 species